rnacentral:lncRNA from 1 species
GUGUAAUUGUUUUCCUUUAGACCAAGACCCCCUCAUGGUUGGAAUAAUUAUUUUGAAAAGGUCCAAGCAAAAAAACAGCACUAUGUGCCAUGUGUCCACCUAUAUGUGGGUGAAAAAUCUUAGCUCUCUCAUUAUGGACUAUUAGUUAGGUAAGUUAUUAACCACACAUAAGUAUUUAUUUUUCCCAUUAGGCAAACAAGGAUGAUAAUAAGAGCAAAUGCUGAGUAUCUUCUGGGCGCCAAGCAUUGUUACAUUGAAGCUUGACUCUAGAAUGAGAAGCAGUAUCCAGAUAUUCUUCAUUUAAUGACCUACCUGCUUAAUACCCGGUCAGACUUAACACCCACAUUCAGACUUAUGAUGCAGGAACAUGAGCAGCAGUCUGGUCUUAUGGUGGCAUCUUCUACAGUAAGGGGCAUGGAGAUGUUUGGGAGAGACAGGUGGGCUGCAGAGCUUUGGGAUCAAAGUGACAGACG